UCUCCGUUGGUGAACCAGCGGAGGGAUCAUUACCGAGUUUACAACUCCCAAACCCCUAUGUGAACGUUACCAAACUGUUGCCUCGGCGGGAAAUUCAUGCCCCGGGCGCGUCGCAGCCCCGGACCAAGGCGCCCGCCGGAGGACCAACCAAAACUCUUUUGUAUGUCCCUCGCGGACUUUUAUAAUUCUGAACCAUCUCGGCGCCCCUAACGGGCGUUUCGAAAAUGAAUCAAAACUUUCAACAACGGAUCUCUUGGUUCUG
rnacentral:misc_RNA from 1 species